UGGGGAAUCUUCGGCAAUGGACGAAAGUCUGACCGAGCAACGCCGCGUGAGUGAAGAAGGUUUUCGGAUCGUAAAACUCUGUUGGUAGAGAAGAACGUUGGUGAGAGUGGAAAGCUCAUCAAGUGACGGUAACUACCCAGAAAGGGACGGCUAACUACGUGCCGG
rnacentral:rRNA from 1 species